UAUUUAUCUAUUUUUAUCUGUAUUGGCUGAAUAAAUGUGGUGUUGCAUUAUCAUCACGUUUCUUUACACGUUGCUCACACAUGGUAUUUCUUCUACAGAUUUCUGGCCUUCCACCGACUUCCCGACACCUUUUCACUUUCCUUCCCUUCCAUAACUCAUUCACUCCUUCCUCGAAUACCCCUCUCCCACCGUCUAUUCAAAAACCCUAUUAUCGCUCCUUUCACCUCCACUCAUAUCCGUUGUCGUCCUCCGGUGACUUCCCGUUUUCCAUUCCCGAUUCCCUCAAUUAGGGUUGGGUUUGUUGUCGUUGUUUCCAAUCUUCUACCGCCUCAUAUCUCUAUUCUUCUUUUCACCGCCUUCGUUUUUCUUCCCACUUCCAUCUACAAUACCAGAGGCAGAAGUCGAUGUUCAUCGCCAAUGCCACCGGUUGAUGUUUCUGGUCUAAAUCGAUGUCACUAUUCUUCCAAUCUUUUUCGAUUCUAGGGUUCAGGCGAAACAGUGACAGACCGAAGGACAAGAAAGCGGCAUGUCGGCCCAGCCAACGGCGGCUCCACCGCCUAUUUUGUUUAUCUGGGUUUCCAACGACUAUGGGGUUGGUGAAUCGGACACCUGAUUUUGGUUUUUUAAUUUAGAUGAAUUUUUCUACGGAUUCGUUGCAGCUCAACAAUCCUCGGUUUGUUGUCGAUUUUGCGUCCUCUGCGUUCCCUCUGUUCCAAGAUCCACCAUAUCAUUAUCUCCGGAGGAAUGGACUGCACCUUAAACAAUCAGACGGUGCCACCCUUCCCAAGAAAUCCAACUCUCAGGCUACAUACUCCCCCCUGGAACUUAUAUCAAGAGCUGAGUUCAAGUUUAUCAAGUUCAGCAUCAACUAUUUUCUAUAUUUUUUCGUAUUUCAACAUGCAACUUACAACUCUCCUACAGCAAAUGACUUAAACCCUUAAAAAAAGGUUUUUUUUGGAAAAGGCCGUUGAUGGAAACAAACCAAAUUAUGGUUCCAAUUUCAAUGUUGACUUAAACCAUAUAAAUAUUUGGGUUUGAAUGAUAAUUAGUUAAUAUGCAUACUUCUUAUAUGAUUUCGGCGAGUUUGAAUAUCUUUUUGAAAUUAUUUUUAGAAUGUUAGUGUCAACAUUCUGAUGGGAUUAUAGCACAAGUUGGUUGUUUUGUUCCUUGUGCUAAAACUUCCAUUUUUA